CACAAGUUCACAAUAUAAUAAUGGAUCACACAGAUCACAAGUUCACAAUAUUACAAAUUAAUCCCAUAAAUCACAAGUUCACAAUAUAACAAAUUGAUCACAAGUUUACAAUAUAACAAGUGGAUAUUGAAAAUGAAAAACGAGCGCCAACUCCGAACAGCAAAAACCCUGUAUAUACCACACAUAGAAGACAUCAAGGUCUUAUCGAGAUGUAAUCAGAUUCGCAUUAAUCAAUAUUAGGCUGAUAUGAAUUAAAAUAGAACUCCAAGUAAAUUUUAAUAUACCUAAUACAUGAUUUCAGCGAGGGAUUCGAAUAAUAUCCAAACAAAACCCCAAGUGAUAAGUGUGUGGCCGUGUGGGGGUGGGGGAGGGAGAGGCUAGUAGGCUACAGCCUACUACCACGUUGCAGGCUUGCAACAGCCGAGGAGAAGCCGUGCAGGCUGUUGAGGAAGAGGAGCGGCAGCAAGGGGGCAUGGGCGUGCGCGCCGACGGCAGCAGCAAGGACAGGUCCUUCUCCGAGCGGUGUGUGCAUCCAUGGCCACAAAGCUAGGAUUAGGGAUUACAGAUUUACAGAUUAGUAGAUUACUUACAGUGGAUUGGGGGCAGUGCGUUCGUCCGUGGUCUGCACGCGCAGCCCGGCAGAGAGAAGGAAGAUGAGUCACGGAAUUUGGGGGCACGGUAUGGAGCGCUGAGCAGCCGUGAACAAUGGCGACUAGCUGUGGCGGCUGUGUGCGGUGUGCCUGUGCGGCUGCGCUGUGCUGGGCGAGGGCGGCGGAUGUGCGACGGGCCGACGACAGAUGGG
rnacentral:lncRNA from 1 species